rnacentral:rRNA from 1 species
GACAGAGGGUGCAAACGUUGCUCGGAAUUACUGGGCGUAAAGCGCGUGUAGGUGGAUUGGUGUGUCAGAUGUGAAAUCCCUGGGCUCAACCCAGGAACUGCACCUGAAACUACCAGUCUUGAGUGAUGGAGAGGGAAGUGGAAUUCCUGGUGUAGAGGUGAAAUUCGUAGAUAUCAGGAGGAACACCAGUGGCGAAGGCGGCUUCCUGGACAUCAACUGACGCUGAGACGCGAAAGCGUGGGGAGCAAACAGG